UGGGGAAUCUUGCGCAAUGGGCGAAAGCCUGACGCAGCAACGCCGCGUGGGGGAUGAAGGCUCUCGGGUUGUAAACCCCUUUCAGCAGGGACGAAACUGACGGUACCUGCAGAAGAAGGACCGGCCAACUACGUGCCAGCAGCCGCGGUAAUACGUAGGGUCCGAGCGUUGUCCGGAUUUAUUGGGCGUAAAGAGCUCGUAGGCGGCUUACUAAGUCGAGUGUGAAAACUCCAGGCUCAACCUGGAGCCUGCACUUGAUACUGGUAUGGCUAGAGUCCGGUAGGGGACCACUGAAUUCCUGGUGUAGCGGUGAAAUGCGCAGAUAUCAGGAGGAACACCGGUGGCGAAGGCGGUGGUCUGGGCCGGCACUGACGCUGAGGAGCGAAAGCGUGGGGAGCAAACAG
rnacentral:rRNA from 1 species